AAAAACCCGAUGAUAAAUCAACUUAAAUUUGGAUUUCUCUUCCCAAAAACUGAACUCAUCCUUUUCAGAUCUUUUUCUUCUUAUCUAAACUAUCUCGUAUUCGAUUCCUCCGAAAAGAAAAAACCCAGAUUAAAGCUCCGCUCGCGACUUCAAUCAUCAACAGAAAGUAGGAAAUGCUGGUCUCCUUUUAUUUUUGCGUAGUGACCCAAUGCAGGAUUCCUUCUAUAGAGAACCAAUUUUGAUAGGGAUUCGUUGCUCAAAUAUGUCGGUACCACUUUAUAUCUUCCAUCACUUACUUGCAAUCCUCAUCUUUACUCAUCCACAAGGAAUAAUAAAUCAAGCUUUUUAAAGAUUGCUUCUGAAGGACUCAAGCACCAAGUGUUCGAGGCAUCAUUGGCUGAUCUUUGAGGCAAUGAGGAUCAAUCGUACGAGAAGUUCAGACUUACAGUUGAGGAUGUUCAAAGAAAUGUUCUUACCAAUUUCUGUGUAAGUAACAAUCCACAAUUUCAUCUCUUAUUCAUGAUUUGUUUUGAUACAUAUAUGUAUAAUUGUUUGAGAUUCAGGGAAUAGAUGUUAUCACAAACCAGUUGAGAUCUCUUGUAAGAAAGUGGGAGACAUUGAUUGAAGCCCAUAUUCAUGUUAAGACGGCAAACAACUUCACCUUGAGGAUGUUCUGCUUUAGAUUCACCAAGAAGCGAGACAAGCAGGUCAAGAGAACCUGUUAUGCUUAGCCAAAUUCGAGAGAUUCGUCGCAAGAUGGUUGAAGUCAUGGUUUACCAGGCCUCUUCAAGUGGUCUUAAAGAAUUGGUGGCGAAAUUUAUCCCUGAGAUGAUCGGGAAGGAUAUUGAGAAGGCUACAUCAAGCAUUUACCCAUUGCAGAGUGUGUGCAUUAGGAAGGUCAUGAUCAUAAGUUUGAUGAAAUUAUGGAUGCAAGUGUUAUGUUAUGCGAUAGGGAAGGGGUACUUGAAGAUGUUGCAAGAGGUGACAUGACUAAGUUGCCAAAAACUUAUAUAAAUCUUGUAGGAAAUCGUCAAGAUUAGGCGACAAUAUUGAUAGAUGGAUUUAAGUUUUAAUGUUUAGUAUGCCAUUUUAGGUUGCUGUAAUUUAUCUUUCAGUUUGUAUCGAUUCUAUAUUUUGAAUGUUAUUUUGGGUGUUAAUAUAAAGUUAAAUUCAUCUUUAAG